GGCCUGGCUGGUCGGUCCGCCUAACCGCGUGCACUGAUUCGGCCGGGUCUUUCCUUCUGGCUAACCCCAUGCCCUUCACUGGGUGUGGCGGGGAUCCAGGACUUUUACUUUGAAAAAAUUGGAGUGUUUAAAGCAGGCUUUCAAGCUUGAACAUAUUAGCAUGGAAUAAUGAAAUAGGAC
rnacentral:rRNA from 1 species